rnacentral:rRNA from 1 species
CCUACGGGGGGCAGCAGUGGGGAAUAUUGGACAAUGGGGGGAACCCUGAUCCAGCGACGCCGCGUGAGUGAAGAAGUAUUUCGGUAUGUAAAGCUCUAUCAGCAGGGAAGAAAAUGACGGUACCUGACUAAGAAGCCCCGGCUAACUACGUGCCAGCAGCCGCGGUAAUACGUAGGGGGCAAGCGUUAUCCGGAUUUAUUGGGGUGAAAGGGUGCGUAGGAGGUCCGUUAAGUCAGCG